GCACUGCUGAAGAGUCCCAUACUAGGACGAGACGGCCGUUUAGUGC
rfam:Schistosoma haematobium scaffold2387_2, whole genome shotgun sequence.